rnacentral:rRNA from 1 species
AUACAGAGGUGGCGAGCGUUGUUCGGAUUUAUUGGGUGUAAAGGGUGCGUAGGCGGUUUGGAAAGUCGGAUGUGAAAGCCCACAGCUCAACUGUGGAAAUGCAUCUGAAACUUCCAAACUAGAGUGCGAGAGAGGUAAAGGGAAUUCCCGGUGUAAGGGUGAAAUCUGCAGAGAUCGGGAGGAACACCAGCAGCGAAGGCGCUUUACUGGCUCGUAACUGACGCUGAGUGCACGAAGGCAUGGGGAGCGAACGGGAUUAGAAACCCCAGUAGUCC